rnacentral:pre_miRNA from 17 species
UGAAGAAGGCGGUGUAACUUCUCCAGGAGCCUGGUUCCAUAUGGUGGUUUAGAUUUAACUGAGCUGUGUCUAGCACCAUUUGAAAUCAGUGUUCUUGGAGAAAGGCUCGCAUCACAACUCUC